UACGAAGGGUGCAAGCGUUAAUCGGAAUUACUGGGCGUAAAGGGUGCGUAGGCGGUUCGUUAAGUCUGUCGUGAAAUCCCCGGGCUCAACCUGGGAAUGGCGAUGGAUACUGGCGAGCUAGAGUGUGUCAGAGGAUGGUGGAAUUCCCGGUGUAGCGGUGAAAUGCGUAGAGAUCGGGAGGAACAUCAGUGGCGAAGGCGGCCAUCUGGGACAACACUGACGCUGAGACACGAAAGCGUGGGUAGCAAACAGG
rnacentral:rRNA from 1 species